UACGUAGGUGGCGAGCGUUGUCCGGAUUUACUGGGCGUAAAGGAUGCGUAGGCGGAUAUUUAAGUGAGAUGUGAAAUACCCGAGCUUAACUUGGGUGCUGCAUUUCAAACUGGAUAUCUAGAGUGUGGGAGAGGAGAAUGGAAUUCCUAGUGUAGCGGUGAAAUGCGUAGAGAUUAGGAAGAACACCAGUGGCGAAGGCGAUUCUCUGGACCAUAACUGACGCUGAGGCAUGAAAGCGUGGGGAGCAAACAGGA
rnacentral:rRNA from 1 species